GACUCCGUCUCAAAAAAAAAAAAAAAAAAAAAGAACAGGAUCAUAAGUUUAAACUUAAAACAGUUUAUAACUGUUUUCCCUCUGGUCUUCUGUCAGCAAGAUGUCAACAGCCCUCUCUAUUGUAAAUGCAUUAACCAGCAUCUUCUCUGAUAGAAAUUAUAAGAAGAUAAGCCGUGUCCACCACUCAGCUUCAGAGACCUCAUGGCUUCUGGGUAAAGAAGGAGGUAUACCCUGUAGAAGUUUGUCUUCCAAUGCAGAUGACUUUGAACGUCCAAUGGAUCAUGAGAUUAUAGACAAGCCUCAGCCCGCUCUUGAAGCCUCUGAGGAGUCUCUAAUUCACAAGGACAGAGGAGAUGGAGAGAGGCCAGUCAACACAAGGGUGGUGCAGGCGGCCCCUCUGAGUUGUGACUCUACUCCCUGUGGGGAUGCUGUGCAAGACAUCUCUAUUGAGGAUGCUGAAUAUGACAUCUGUAAUGAGGACACUGUACAAGACAUCUCCAAUGAGGAUGCUGUAGAAGACAUCGCCAAUGAGGACACUGUAUACGAGAUCGCUAAUGAGGACACUGUAUACGAGAUCGCUAAUGAGGACACUGUAUACGACAUCGCUAAUGAGAACGCUGUAUAUGACAUCGCUAACGAGGAUGCCGUAUAUGACAUCGCUAAUGAGGAUGCUGUAGAAGAUACUGCUAAUGAGGACGCUGUAUACGACAUUGCUAAUGAGGACACUGUACAAGACAUCUCUAAUGAGGAUGCUGUAGAAGACAUCUCUAAUGAGAACGCUGUAUACGACAUCGCUAAUGAGGACGCUGUAUACGACAUCGCUAAUGAGGACGCUGUAUACGACAUCGCUAAAGAGGAUGCUCUACAAGACAUCUCUAAAAAAGAAGAUGCUGCCACUGAUCCAUUUGUACUGGAGAAUGAUCUGUUUUUGGAGAGCAUAUCCAGUGAUGAGGAUUUGUAGGACUUUAAAAAACAGUCAUGUUUCCAUCCUCGCUGUUGACUCCUGGCUUAAAAGGAUCUCCCAGGGUGAGUGAGGAGGCGGGAUCGGACCCUGGCAGUCUGAUGGCAACACCUGUGUUCCUCUGCACUGGGCCUUGGACAACAUUACACACCUUGGUGAGAAUCAGGAAUUACACACCUUUGUGAGAAUCCGCAUCUGGAAUUGAGAUGGGCCUUGAGUCAUAUAAUUAGGUUGGAAAAGGUGCAUUUUACUACCCUAUUGAAAGAAACCAUAUUUUUCUCACUCCAGCAGGAUAUAUGGUUUUCAGUAUCCACUUAACUGCUCAUUGACUCUUAUUGUAGAUCAAGAGGUGGCAAGCAGCCCCUGCCCUCCCCCAGUUGUAGGCCCAAGGUAACCAGCAAGUGACUGCAUAUAAUGGAAAAGUGGUACGUUUGGAGGUGUCUGUAUUAAUGAGACCCACAUGAUAUGGGUAAGAGCUAUUAGGGUGAGAAAAAACCUGGGAGCACAAUGAAAUAUUUGAAUAUCAAACAAAACAUUAUUGAAAUCUCCACUGUACUUUAGUAGUUGAAGUCAUUCUUGUGGUCAUCACUGCCUUUCCCAAACAUAAGCUGCUUAAUAUCACACGGACCCAUGCCAUGAGGAACGAUGAUCAGUUUGUAAAAUGCCAAUAAAGCCAUUGCCUGUAUAAGCCAUGAUAUUUCAUCCAUAUAUUUCAAUUUCCAUGUGUAAAUAUAGUUCAAAUGUCAGAAUUUAUUAUUAUCUAAUAGAAUAUGCAUGGUAUAUCAAUGAGCGAUAACCCUCAUACUCUUUCUAUUAAUAAUUAUUUGCAUGAUGAAAAAUGCAGAAUCCCAUUCUUGGAUUUUUCUUAGUUUGCACACAUUAGCAUGACCACCCAUGUCCACCUGACAUGUACCAGCAGGAGGCCAGGAACAGAGGCUUUUCUUUUUUUUUUUUUUUUUUUUGAGACGGAGUCUUGCUCUGUCACCCAGGCUGGAGUGCAGUGGCCGGAUCUCAGCUCACUGCAGGCUCCGCCUCCCGGGUUCACACCAUUCUCCUGCCUCAGCCUCCCGAGUAGCUGGGACUACAGGCAUCCGCCACAUCGCCCGGCUAGUUUUUUGUUAUUUUUUAGUAGAGACGGGGUUUCACCAUGUUAGCCAGCAUGGUCUCGAUCUCCUGACCUCGUGAUCCACCCGUCUCGGCCUCCCAAAGUGCUGGGAUUACAGGCUUGAGCCACCGCGCCCGGCUGGCUUUUAUUAUUAACCAAGAUUUCUAAAUGUAUUACAUAUUCACGGUUAGAAAUAACUCUAAAUAUCAUAAAAGGUUAGCAAGGAAGUUUCCCUUCCACUCCGAACUUCCAAACACCAAGUCAACAUUUUCAUUUGCAUAUCAUCCCUACAAUCUAUGUGCAAAUAGAAACAUGCACCUGGCAUGCAUGCUGAUGCGUGAUUGUGCUUAUACAAAGUCCUCUGCACCUCUGCAUAUAUCACUGGGCAAUGCACCUUAGUUAUUCCACUUUUCAAAUGUAAAUCCAUUGUAUUUUUUCAGAGCUAUAAAGUACUUGCACCCUAUGACUAUUCCCAAAAUUACUUAAGCACCCCCCUCUGGGUAUCCAUUCAUUCUGUUUCUAGUCUUGCUCUCAUAAUCAGUGCUGUAGUGGACAGCACUGUGUUGAGUAAAAGUGGUGAACAUGGUAUCUUUGUCUUGUUCCAGUCCUCAGGGGGGAUGGUUUCAACUUUUCCCCAUUCAGGAUAAUGUUGGCUGUGGGUUUGUCAUAGAUGACUUUUAUUACCUUAAGCUAUGUCCCUUCUAUGCUGAUUUUGCUGAAAGGUUUUAAUCAUAAAGAAAUGCUAGAUUUUGUCAAUGCUUUUUCUGCAUCUAUUCAGAUUAUCAUAUGAUUUUUGUUUUUAAUUUUAUUUAUGUGAUAUAUCACAUUUAUUGACUUGUAUAUAUUAAACCAUCCUUGCAUCCCUGGUAUGGAACCCACUUGAUCGUGGUGGAUUAUCUUUUUGAUAUGCUGAUGGAUCCAGUUAGCUUGGAUGUAGCAUUUCUUAUUAUUCCUUCUGUGGAAUGUAUUGGUUUAAAUAAUGAAAACAUGUUCUAUCUUCACUGCUUAGCACUUUGUGUUUCUUUAACAGCCUUCGCAACAGGGCAACAUAAAAGAAGGAGCCCCACUAGUCUCCCCUUAACCUGGAAUCCCCCCUUCUCCACAGCUCGCUCAUUGGACAGGAUAGACUGGGCACCCAGACCUCAGGGUAAGGAUACGCUCCAUCACCUAGAGGUGCAGUGCCUGGGAAGGCCAACCUUGGUGGGGUGCUGCCAGCUUUACAGUGACGGAGGUGUUGGGAGGGACUGACCACCAAUUUUUUUUUUAUAUUAUACUUUAUGAUCUAGGGUACAUGUGCACAACGUGCAGGUUUGUUACAUAUGUAUACAUGUGCUGAUGUUGGUGUGCUGU
rnacentral:lncRNA from 1 species